rnacentral:lncRNA from 1 species
AAAAUAAAUUGAUGUUCCUAUGAUGUGCUGAAAAUUGGUCCAACUACGAUUUCAGUAAAAUCCACAUUUUGGGCUUCAGAUUUAAGUGAUUUCUCUACAUCUUUAUUUGGUUGAAAUUGCUAAAAGCAACUAUCAACCUUUGCUAACCAAUCGUCGACCAUCACCAACUGUGGUGCCAGCGCUAGCAACCUUAAGAUUAGGAGUUCUAGUACACAAAAUGGGCUCGUUGGUGAAGAUCAUACGCAGAUCCAAUUUGUUCAUUGACGCCAUCAUCAAUGGUACAUGUUGUAGCUUGAGUUCCACAAAGAGAAAAAAACGGUAAUAGAGAUAGAUUCUGUACAGAAAAAAAAAUGCUAGAGUGAAAAUAGAUUGGAGAGGAAAUUUGUAAUAUAAUCUAAUUUUUAAUACAUUAUAUAUUCAAUAUUAAAUAAUUUAGUUAUAAUCGGAUUUGUGAAAUAAUAAACUUAUAGCCUG